rnacentral:rRNA from 1 species
UACGUAGGCAGCAAGCGUUGUUCGGAAUUACUGGGCGUAAAGAGUGUGUAGGCGGUGCUCUAAGUUCGGUGUGAAAUCUCCUGGCUUAACUGGGAGGGUGCGCCGGAAACUGGAAUGCUCGAGCGUGGGAGAGGAAAGCGGAAUUCCUGGUGUAGCGGUGAAAUGCGUAGAUAUCAGGAGGAACACCUGCGGUGUAGACGGCUUUCUGGACCAUUGUUGACGCUGAGACACGAAAGCGUGGGUAGCAAACAGG